CCAAACACGAUUAAACCGAGAGAAAAAGGGGAAAAAUGGUUCGUGGAUGUUAGGCUUUUUCAUGUUUCCGGUUCCCUUUUUUCUACUGCAAUAAGUUGCAUUUUUCGUUAUAGUUUUCGACUAUAUGAGAUGUCUUCGUUUGGCUGUGAUUGACUUACAAAUGGAGUGGCGAGUGCAUUUUUCUUAACUGUUGUUUGUGUUGCCAUGUAAGCGUGUAUGUGCGUUAAGUCCCAUUUGAAGAGCAUCCAGGAUCAUCUUGCACUCUGUUUCCUUAGUGAACAGCUAGCCAUCUAACAGAAAAAGAACAACGAACAACGAUGCAAACAGACAGUCCCAGGCCCACUUCCGGCUUCCGUUUUCCUGACCUAUGAUUCUGACGUGACCAGUUUGACGUGAGUGACGUGAGCGUCUGUGGGGGGGUUUUUGGGGGUUUGGGAACAUCUCUCCGUCUCUCUAAGUGAACGGCUAAAUACAUUAUGCUAUUUUGGGGCAGCAAGGAUCGAGGACGUUAAAGGGAGAUGGAGGGAUCUUGCGCGGUUUCCAUUAUUCUAAUAUAGUUUUGCUGUAUCUCUCUCCCUCCCUCCCUCCCUCCCUCUCUCUCUCUACGGGUUCCAUUCGUCUCGUGAUUUUUUUGCGGCUCUUUGUCGGAGCAGAAAUGAGGAAUGUUUUGUUUGUUUGCUGCUUUAGUUAUGAAUAUUAUGAUAUACUCUGGGGC